GGGGCUGGGCUCAAUGACAGAGUGCUUGCCUUGCAUGCAAGAGGCCCUGGGUUCGAUUCCUCAGCACCA
rnacentral:tRNA from 1 species